UGGGGAAUUUUGGACAAUGGGGGAAACCCUGAUCCAGCGACGCCGCGUGUGUGAAGAAGGCCUGCGGGUUGUAAAGCACUUUCGUUGGGAACGAAAUGUGCCGGUCUAAUACACCGGUAAGCUGACGUUACCCAAAUAAGAAGCACCGGCUAACUCUGUGCCAGCAGCCGCGGUAAUACAGAGGGUGCAAGCGUUAAUCGGAAUUACUGGGCGUAAAGCGCACGUAGGCGGUCAUAUAAGUCGGGUGUGAAAUCCCCGGGCUCAACCUGGGAACUGCAUUCGAGACUGCAUGGCUAGAGUACGGUAGAGGAGGGCGGAAUUCCCGGUGUAGCGGUGAAAUGCGUAGAUAUCGGGAGGAACAUCAGUGGCGAAGGCGGCCCUCUGGACCAGUACUGACGCUCAGGUGCGAAAGCGUGGGGAGCAAACAGG
rnacentral:rRNA from 1 species